rnacentral:rRNA from 1 species
AUUGAACGCUGGCGGAAUGCUUUACACAUGCAAGUCGAACGGUAGAGGGGGCAACCCCUCGAGAGUGGCGAACGGGUGAGUAAUAUAUCGGAACGUGCCCAGUCGUGGGGGAUAACGUAGCGAAAGUUACGCUAAUACCGCAUACGAUCUAAGGAUGAAAGCGGGGGAUCGCAAGACCUCGCGCGAUUGGAGCGGCCGAUGUCUGAUUAGCUAGUUGGUGGGGUAAAGGCCUACCAAGGCGACGAUCAGUAGCUGGUCUGAGAGGACGAUCAGCCAAACUGGGACUGAGACACGGCCCAGACUCCUACGGGAGGCAGCAGUGGGGAAUUUUGGACAAUGGGCGAAAGCCUGAUCCAGCAAUGCCGCGUGUGUGAAGAAGGCCUUCGGGUUGUAAAGCACUUUUGUCCGGAAAGAAAUGGCUCUGGUUAAUACCUGGGGUCGAUGGCGGUACCGGAAGAAUAAGGACCGGCUAACUACGUGCCAGCCGCCGCGGUAA